CACAAGCGGAGGAACAUGUGGUUUAAUCGAUGAUACGCAGGAACCUUACCUGGGCUUAAAUGUAGAGUGCAUGAUGUGGAAACAUGUCUUCCCUUCGGGGCUCUCUGCAAGGUGCUGCAUGGUUGUCGUCAGCUCGUGCCGUGAGGUGUCGGGUUAAGUCCCAUAACGAGCGCAACCCUUAUCGUUAGUUGCCAGCGGGUAAUGCCGGGAACUCUAACGAAACUGCCGGUGUAAACCGAGAGGAAGGUGGGGAUGACGUCAAAUCAGCACGGCCCUUAUGUCCAGGGCUACACACGUGUUACAAUGGCCGGUACAGAGGGCAGCUACCUGGAGACAGGAUGCGAAUCUCGAAAGCCGGUCUCAGUUCGGAUCGGAGUCUGCAACUCGACUCCGUGAAGCUGGAUUCGCUAGUAAUCGCGCAUCAGCCAUGGCGCGGUGAAUACGUUCCCGGGCCUU
rnacentral:rRNA from 1 species